CAAGAUACAUGUAACAAACAUUAACAUGUGAUGUUUCAUUUCUGGCAGAUGAUGAUGGGAGUGGUUCUAGAAAUGAGCCAUCCAGUAUUGCUGAAAACAACUCCAAUUGAAGCUCUUGUGGUUCUUUAUUGAGCACCAAAGGUAAAUGGGUCAGAGGAGGGUCUGAUUAUUGUAAAAGAUGAGGUCAUCGACCAUGAUAAUUUUGCCUGAUGAGCUGGCUCUGCAAAACUUCAAGACUAUUCUGGUCAUUAUUUCCUCAAUGCUUUUAUGCCCCGUAGGUGGGCAUAUAGUGAUCGGACCGUCCGUCCGUCUCUCUGUCUUUCCGUCACACUUUGCGUUUAGGUUUCGAAAAAUGCUCAUAACAUAUAUGUCCCUUUAGAUUGCAACUUGAUAUUUGGCAUGCAUGUGUUUCUCAUGGAGCUGCACAUUUUGAGUGAUGAAAGGUCAAGGUCAUCCUUCAAGGUCAAAGCUCAAAUAUAUGGCUUCAAAGCGGCGCAGAAGGGGGCAUUGUGUUUCUGGCCAACACAUCUCUUGUUGAUUCAUAUAUUUGUUACCUUUACACUAGACUAUGGAUACCUCUGUCUGUAUGUGAUCAGUUGAGUCCAUAGAAUUCCAUUGCGUGUUUCUGGUACCUCACAGCGUUUUAAUAUUUCUGAAUAUCAUUCCACAUACAUCGCAUAUACAUGUAUAUUACAGCAGUGUGUUUGUUAACAAGGGGUUCUUUCUGCUUUGGGUUUGAGUCCCACUGAAUACAGAAAAUCAUGUAAAUGUAGGGGUACAUGUUUGUAUAUGCUUACUUAAGAUGGUAGUGAUACAGCACUACCAGUAUUCUCAGAAACAGAGGUAACGUAAAUGGUGUGUAUGUAUAUCUGUGAAAUGAAGUGCAAGAGCUAAAAGCACAUUAAAAGCCAAAUACAAAUAAUUUGUCACAGUUGACAGAGAGUGCUUUAUCUCAUACAGAUAAUGAUGAUGAUGAUGAUUUCGAAGAAGCUGGCUUUGAACCUUCCAGUUCUAACAAUGCCGAAAAGGACUCAUCUACAGGCACAUCUUGUUUCAAGAACAGACUAGAAAGUGCAAGUUUUAAGGGAUACGGCUGGUUUUAUAAUAAAUGAUCAGCUCUUUUGGGGGUUUUGUGGAGAUUUGUUUGUGAUUCCUUAUCAGCUUACUUAAAUAAUUAAAUUUUGGUUAAUACCUCUAUCUGUAUUUAGUGUGUUUCUAGUGUGUGUGUGCCUCAUACCUCACAAUGUGUGAACAGUUUAGGUUAUAUUACACCUUUGGAUUGCAUUACUGAACUUUUUGAUUACAAUGAUUAAAUGCUGUGCGUUUCUAUACUUAUUAUGUCGUACAACCGGCUGGUGGCCUCUGAAAAGGUAGUUACUUCAGUUAUGACUUAUGAACAAUAAUUUUGUGAACUGCUUAAAAAAACAUGUUUAUCUGUUUGGAUGUGCAAAAUCCAAUUGAUUCAAUAUACAAUACAUUGACAUGAGAUGUUUCUUUUCUGGAAGAUAGUGACGGGCAUUAUUUUAGAAAUGAGCCAUCAUUCCAGUAUGCCAAAAAACAUCCCCUCAAGCUCUCCUGGUCCUAAAAAUGAGCACCAAAGGCCAAAGUGUCAGAGAUAAAGAUUGAACUGAUUCUAAAAAUGAGCCAUCCAGUAUUGGUGAAAAUGUCUCCUUCAAGCAUUCCUGGUUCCAAAAUCAGCAUCAAAGGCCAAAGCGUCAAGAGAUAAUGAUGAUGAUGACGAAGAAGCUGGCUUUGAACCCUCCAGUUCUAACAGUGCAGAAAUGGACUCAGCUACAAGCACAUCUUGUUUCAAAAACAGACAAGAAAGGGUAAUAAAGGUGAUGGUGACAAAGAAGCUUGCUCUGAACCUUUAAGUUCCAAUGCACUGUUAGAAAAGGACACAUCUUCACGCACAUCUGGUUACAAGUACAGAGAAGAAAGGGCAUGUAAGGGGUAAUGAAGGUGGUGGUGACCAUGAAGCUUGCUCUGAACCUUUAAGUUCCAAUGCACUGUUAGAAAAGGACACAUCUUCACGCACUUCUGGCUACAAGUACAGAGAAGAAAGGGCGAGCGUAAGGGACCCUGAAUCUUCUGACACAGACCAUGAUGUGCCAGUAAGACAGCCACAUGCAAAACCUGGGCCGUCCACAACUGUAACCAUGUCGGGUCAACCCAAGAGGCUUCAGAAACUCAGUGAAUACCAGAGUCAUCUUUUGAAGACGCUGUUCAAAACGAAUAUUGCAUUGAGAAAGGAACUAAAGCGUGAAGACUGUGAAAGAGUAAUGCAAGAAUAUGAAAUUCUACACGGAUUGUCAUGGAAAAAAAUAAAAAACACGAUUCAUAACUGGAUUACUGCUGAAAAGAGAAAACAAAAAUGAUUUUAUAGCUCUUUAGCCCACCUGCGCACAAUGUUCUCAUGGUGAGCUUUUGUGAUCGCUUUUUGCCCGUUGUCCAUCUUGCGGCAUCAACAUUUGCCUUGUUAACAUUCUAGAGGUCACAUUAAUUGUCAGAUCUUCAUGAAAUUUUAUUUGACGAUUUGUCCCAAUGAUAUCUUGGAAAAGAUUACAAAUGGUCUCGGUUGGUUGAAAAACAGUAAUUUACACGCCAUAUACUCCAUACUAAAAUCAAUAUUGUUAUAUGCAAAGCAGCAAUGCUUAAAAGAAAUAAUACAAAAUUGGGAGGGGGCAUUACUCGUAUGAAAACAAGAUGGUGGUAUUUGUUAUAAACACGUGUAAAACAGUUGGAUUUUUUCUGGCCGAAGACAACUAUUCAUACAACCAACUUCUUAAUUUUUGCAAAGCUCGUCAAAUUGAUUUCCAUUGUAGAAUUUACUUAAGUUCGGAGUUGUGAACCGAAUUGACCAUGUUUUUGUUAGCAAGUAACAUUGUACAACAAGGUCUAUUUUUUCUCCACUCUCAAUAAACAUGUUUUACUAACUCUGAAAUAGUUUAUGAGUUACUAAAUUCCUUUGAAACAUUGGACCAUUUUCUUUAUUAAUAGAUCAUACUUGCGCAAUUGUUGUUAUGUUUUCUUUAUGGUUAAGGCAUUGUGACAUGUAUAUUAAUUUGAUUUUUAUGCCCCCUGAUAGAGGGCAUAUAGUGAUCAGACCGUCCGUCUGUCUGUCUGUCUUUCCGUCACACUUUGCGUUUAGGUUUCGCAUUUAGGUUUCGAAAAAUGCUCAUAACUUCUAUGUCCCUUCAGAUAGCAACUUGAUAUUUGGCAUGCAUGUGUAUCUCGUGGAGCUGCACAUUUUGAGUGGUAAAAGGUCAAGGUCAUCUUUCAAGGUCAAUGGUCAAAUAUAUCACUUCAAAGCGGCACAGAAGGGGCAUUGUGUUUAUGACAAACACAUCUCUUGUUUCCAGAUGAUAUUGUCUGAACUUGACAUUGCAUAGUUCUAUGUAUGAUGAUUAAAGCAUUGUGUCAUGUAUGAAGAUAUUUUGCUUAAAUGUUUUCAUGUUGUGGUAUUCACUCUUCUAUAUACUUUGUGUCAGAAGAAAUUAAGUCUUUGAUUUUCAUAAUAUACAAUUGUAAUUAGAUUUUUCCUGAUGAUAUUGUCUGAACUUGACAUUUGUUCUAGGUGGGAGGGUUAAGGCAUUGUUUCAUGUAUGAAUAUAUUUUGCUUAAACGUUUUCAUGUUGUGGUAUUGACUCUUCUAUAUAAUUUGUGUCUGAAGAAAGUAAGUGUUUGAUUUUCAUAAUAUACAUCUAUAAUUUGAUUUUUUUAUACGCCCGUUUUUCAAAACGGGACGUAUUAUAGUUUCAUCCUUGGCGGGCGGGUGGACGCCGCCGGUGGGUGGACGGGCGGUUUCCACAGCAGUUUCCGCUCUCUAUUUCAAAUAGUUUUCAUCCGAUCUUCACCAAACUUGGUCAGAAGUUGUAUCUAGACAAUAUCUAGGUUAAGUUUGAAUAUGGGUCAUGCCGGGUCAAAAACUAGGUCACGGGUCACUGAGUGCAUUUCAAGGAUUAAGUAUGGUUUCCGCUCUCUAACUGAAGAAGUUUUCAUCCGAUCUUCACCAAAUUUGGUCAGAAAGUGUAUCUAGACAAUAUCUAGGUCAAGUUCGAAUAUGGGUUAUGCUGGGUCAAAAACUAGGUCACGGGAUAACCAAGUGCAUUUCAAGGAUUUAGCAUGGUGUCGGCUGUCUUAAUUGAAGUAUUUUUUAUCCGAUCUUCACCAAAUGUGGUAAGAAGUUGUGUGUAUAUGAUAUAUAGGUAAAGUUCAAAUAUGGGUCAUGCCGGGUCAAAAACUAGGUCAUGAGGUCACUUAGUGCAUUUCAAGCAUUUAGCAUGGUGUCUGCUCUCUAAUUGAAGUAGUUUUGAUCCGAUCUUCACCAAAUUUGGUCAGAAGUUUUGUCUAGAUGAUGUCCAAAACCUUCAAAAGGGCGUAUCCUAUGACAGUUUGGCACUCUUGUUUCCAGAUGAUAUUGUCUGAACUUGACAUUGUUCGAAGUGUAAAUACAUUUUGAAACUACUUUUUGUCAUAAAAAUGUUUGGGAGUAUUUGUUGGAGGAAUAAACUGUUUUAAAUCGA